UGGGGUAUGGCUCAGUGGUAGAGGACACACCUUGCACGUGUAAGGCACUGGGUUCAAUCCUCAGCACCACAU
rfam:Ictidomys tridecemlineatus contig058245, whole genome shotgun sequence.